rnacentral:rRNA from 1 species
CCUACGGGAGGCAGCAGUCGGGAAUUUUGCGCAAUGGGGGAAACCCUGACGCAGCAAUACCGCGUGUGGGAUGAAGGCCUUCGGGUCGUAAACCACUUUUCUCGGGGACGAUAAUGACGGUAC